rnacentral:rRNA from 1 species
GACGAACCGUGCGAACGUUGUUCGGAAUCACUGGGCUUAAAGGGCGCGUAGGCGGGGUCGUCAGUCUAUGGUGAAAUCCUCUGGCUCAACCAGAGAACAGCCGUGGAUACUGCGACUCUCGAGGGGUGUAGGGGUAUGUGGAACUCAGGGUGGAGCGGUGAAAUGCGUAGAUAUCCUGAGGAACGCCGGUGGCGAAAGCGGCGUACUGGACACCUUCUGACGCUGAGGCGCGAAAGCCAGGGGAGCAAACGGG